CCAGGAUUGAAGGAGUCAUACAGAGAAGAACUAGACGAUAAGACCCCAUGGCUGAAGACAUCACACAUCUCGGUUGCAGAACAUAAAGAAAUCAAUCUGGAAUUGAGCUGGCCAUGUCCUCCCUGCUGAGAGGGUUUCACAGUACUACAAGGUUACAAACUGCAUGUGGGGGUGCAGGCCUUUAGUUCCAAGGAAACCCAGGAAACAGAGACAAUGGAGCUCUGUGAUGUCAAGACCAGUCUUUACAGUGAGUUCCAGGCCUGUUGGAGCUACACAGUAAGACCCAUUUGUCUGUCUGUCUGUCUAGAAGGAUGGAUAAAUGAAUCAAACUCCAUUGCAAACAAAAUUUGACAACUAGGCCAUUUCAAAGCCUUAUUUCCUGCACUUAACUAUGGGCUCCCCACUCAACUGUUUAUCUGUUGGAACUUACUGUCACCAUCAAGACCUGGACCUCUCAACUUCAACUGAUCAUCUUCAAAUGUUGCAAGAUGCCCAGUAAACCUCUACCCUGGUACCAACAAGCAAAACAGAGAAUGAAAACACCCACUUUCCAGAAGCAAACAGAAUCAAAAAUAUCUCCAUUCCUAAAAAUGUAAAAGCUCCAGAAAUGAGUUUCUAUUCUCCUUAGAUACCUAGGUGCCUGCCCAGGUGUAGCUCUUUCUUCGAUAUGUCUGGUCCCCAGGCAACACAAAAAUCUGCCAGUUUUUCACAGAAACCUUCCAUGGUUGUUCUGUAACCUCAACUACUCUAGAUCCAUUGAUUCUAAUAAGUCUCCUUUUUCCAUAAUAUCUGUGAAUCGAGCCUCAGCUGGACAUGUUAACUCAAUGGGCUUGGCAUUCCUAGCUGUGUUGAAUGAAAUCAGAAGUGUAGCGUUUUGGUGACUUAAGAUGACAAACAUUCCAUGCCUGUCAAACCAGGAGACCCAGGAGCUGGCAGAAAAAAAAAAGGAAAAAAAAAUCCCUGAACUUUGCUCAAAGAAAGUUCUGAAACUAACUGAUGAUGUUUUGUUCUCUAGCAAUCAGUCAAUGGUUCCUCUGAGUCAUCUACGUUAGACAGAGAUUGGCUAUGUUGGUCAAAAGCUAAAAAGGCUAGUCGGGGCAUUCUUCUGUGAGGCUGAGCCACCAGCAUGACAGCCACAAAAGUCACAUUGAGUAUCACUGGGCAAGCAAGAUCUUUGUCCAGAGACCAGCAUGCUUGACUGAAAGGAGUUACUUUAUAAAUAAUGUCUAGAGAAAUGAGACUUCCCAGCACAGAUCUGAAAUGGCUUAAUUUCGAACAUGCAUGCUGGCUAAAUACAGUCUCAUGCGUAGACAGAUACAUCAUUGUUAAAGUGAGAAGAGAAAAACCUAUUAGUGAAAUUAAGGAAGACACAUCCUUAACAGGCGUCCUGGUGUUCCAUCUCACAGUUCUGGCCCCUUGCCCUUAUGUGAUGGAUGAAGCUGAUAAUAGAAGAAUUACAAACUGGGUAUAAGGGCAACAUUUUUCACUUGGAAAAUCAAAUUUGCUGAAUUAGCAGCCACCAGCCCAUUGGACGGGGAGCCCAGACAUUGCACCACUUGUAAGAACAAAUGCAGCAUGAUAACAGCGAACAGCUCGAGAAAGGGUGCAGAAGCAGCUCUCUCUUCAAUUUGCUCGUCACACUGAUGAGACUAAACAGAGCAGCCAUUGCUUCUUCUCAACACCCACGGUGUUAUACUUUCACCUCUUAAAGAAAAACUGAGUUUAUAUUUGCAGGAAAUGACCAGCAUGCCUAAAAGAGAUGCCAUAGGUAAAUUCGUAAUCCAGAAACUCAGUAUCCACAUUUCAACACCCCGGAGCACUGAACUUUGGUGUUCUUGAAAUCAGUCAUGGAAGUUAUCCAUAGCCACCGUCCAUCACACAUGAGUUUCAUACAUGAUCAGAGCAGACCUUCAGUCAGUGUGCUGUGGAAAUAGAACACAAUAAGGAGGCCUGUGUGCACAUGUGUCUGGGAUUCACAAAUGAGUUUCAGGAGGAUAGCAGAGUCCGAGAUACCCAGCAAGCUUUUCCAUGCCUACAAUAAAAUAUAAAAAUCAUGGCAAAAAAUGUACAAUGGGGGGAAAGAUCAUGAUAAGUAAUCUUAGAUUUUAUGCAAGUUUUUAAAGUAGAAGACAAAAGAAUCAAAAUGCAAAAGACAAAUACAAAUGGGAUGAGAUAGAGUAAACAUAACUGACAAAGAAUCAAUAUGGCCAGAGAAUGCACAGACUUAUAAACAAGCUAUGAAUGACAUAAGUAAAUACUGCACCAAUGUAGCAGUGCCAUUCACAAACACAGAAACGUGUUAAAUCCCACUUACCCAAAACGAAAAGACUAAUAUGAAUAAGACUUUUUUUUUU
rnacentral:lncRNA from 1 species